UGUGUAAAACAAACCUUGUUUUUAAACUAGUAAAUACUAUAGUAUUCGUUUCUGAAAAUCAUCACUGUCUUCAUGAACGUAAAUAUCCUAAACAACAUAGAAGCAUGAACAUGCACUACCAAAUAAUAGAUAAUUAAUUAGGGACCAAUGCAAAAAAAAAGACACGGAGAAGAAACAUUAAAAAAAGGCAACCGCGGUCCGAUGGGAAAAGCAUGAAACAGAUGGCGUUAUGAAAAAAGUAAUUUCGUAACAACAA